CUUGGUCAUUUAGAGGAAGUAAAAGUCGUAACAAGGUUUCCGUAGGUGAACCUGCGGAAGGAUCAUUACUGAAGUGAAACCUGGGGGUUGUCGCUGCCUUUGCGAAAAGGAUGUGCACGCCACCCAAACUUCUACUUAACCACUUGUGAACCUUUGCUGGCUGUUGAACCUCUCGCAUGAAAAUUGCGGAUGGCGAGUUUGUACUACCUGUAGUACUUUCUUGCAAUUGAUACAGUCAUGCCUUAAUAAACCAUACUUAAAACCUCGAAUGUUACAUUAUCGGUUGUAAUGACCUUUAAUACUUAAUACAACUCUGAGCAACGGAUCUCUAGGCUCUUGCAUCGAUGAAGAACGCAGCGAAAUGCGAUAAGUAAUGUGAAUUGCAGAAUUCAGUGAAUCAUCGAAUCUUUGAACGCACCCUGCGCUCCUUGGCAUUCCGAGGAGCAUGCCUGUUUGAGUGUCACGUGAAACCCUCACCCCGAUGAUGUUAAAAAGUCAACGGUGGUGGAUUUGGACUGUGCCGUUGUUGGCUCGUCUUGAAAUGCAUUAGCCGUGCGUGUCUUGCUCGCACCUCCCGGUGUGAUAAUUAUCUACGCCGUCUUGAGGACAUAUGCCGGCCGCGGCUCAUUAACCGUCUUCGGACAACUUUCAUUAACGCUCUGGCCUCAAAUCAGGUAGGACUACCCGCUGAACUUAAGCAUAUCAAUAAGCGGAGGA
rnacentral:rRNA from 1 species